rnacentral:rRNA from 1 species
AGCGAACGCUGGCGGCAGGCCUAACACAUGCAAGUCGAACGAACCUUUCGGGGUUAGUGGCGGACGGGUGAGUAACACGUGGGAACGUGCCUUUAGGUUCGGAAUAACUCAGGGAAACUUGUGCUAAUACCGAAUGUGCUCUUCGGGGGAAAGAUUAAUCGCCUUUAGAGCGGCCCGCGUCGGAUUAGCUAGUUGGUUGAGGUAAUGGCUCACCAAGGCGACGAUCAGUAGCUGGUAUGAGAGGAUGAUCAGCCACAUUGGGACUGAGACACGGCCCAAACUCCUACGGGAGGCAGCAGUGGGGAAUCUUGCGCAAUGGGCGAAAGCCUGACGCAGCCAUGCCGCGUGAAUGAUGAAGGUCUUAGGAUUGUAAAAUUCUUUCACCGGGGACGAUAAUGACGGUACCCGGAGAAGAAGCCCCGGCUAACUUCGUG